GUGGCGAACGGCUGCGUAACACGUGAGUAAUCUGCCUCGAAGCUGGGGAUAACAUUCCUAACGGAGUGCUAAUACCCGAUGUGCUUGCCGGCUGGCAUCUGCUGGUAAGUAAAGAUGGCGUGCUGAGCGCUAUCACUUCAAGAUGAGCUCGCGGCCUAUUAACUAGUUGGUGAGGUAAUGGCUCACCAGGGCGACGAUGGGUAGCCGGCCUGACAGGGUGUCCGGCCACAUUGGGACUGAUACACGGCCCAGACUCCUACAGGAGGCAUCAAUAGGGAAUCUUGCGCAAUGGACGAAAGUCUGACGCAACAACGCCGUGUGAGCGAAUAAGGCCUUCGGGUCGUAAAGCUCUGUCCCGUGGGAAGAACCUCGGGUGGAUUAUAAAUCCAUUCGACUGACGGUACCACCAGAGGAAGCUCCGGCUAACUCCGUGCCGACAGCCGCGGUAAUACGAUUGGAGCUAGCGUUGUUCGGAAUUACUGGGCGUAAAGGGCGCGUAUGCGGUUGGGUAAGUCAGUUGUGAAAUUUACCGGCUAAACCGGUAAACCGCAUUUGAUACUGCUCAACUUGAGACCAGUAGAGGAGAGUGGAAUUCCCAGUGUAACGGUGGAAUGUCGUAGAUAUUGGGAAGAACACCGGUGGCGAAGGCGGCUCUCUGGACUGGUUCAGACGAUGAGGCGAGAAAGCUAGGUGAGCGAACAGGAUGAGAUACCCAAGCAGUCCUAGCUGUCAUCGAUGUCUGCUAGGUGAAGGAUGUUUACAUGCAGUCAGUGCUGCAGUGAACGCAUUAAGCACACAGCAUGAAGAUUACGGCCGCAAGGCUGAAACUCAAAGGAAUUGACGGGGGCCAGCACAAGCGGUGGAGCAUGUGGUUUAAUUCGAAGCAACGAGAAGAACCUUACCCGGACUUCAUAUAUAGGUGAUUGGCCCGGAAACAGGUCUUCUGUUAGGAGCGCCUAUUCAGGUGGCGCAUGGCUGUCGUCAGCUUGUUUCUUGAGAUGUUGGGUUAAGUCCCGCAACGAGUGCAACCCUUGCCCCUUGUUGCCAUCAGGUAAUGCUGGGGACUAUAGGGGGACUGCCGGCGAUAAGCCGGAGGAAGGUGGGGAUGACGUCAAGUCAUCAUGGCCCUUACGUCGGGGGUUACACACGUGGUACAAUGGCAGGUACAAAGGGAAGCCAAGCCGGGAGGUGGAGCAAAUCCCAAAAAGCCUGUCUAAGUUCGGAUUGAAGUCUGCAACUAGUCUUCAAGAAGUUGGAAUGAAUAGUAAUUGUGGAUCAGCAACGCCUCGGUGAAUACGUUCCCGGGCCUUUUACACACCGCCCGUCACCCCAUGGAAGAUGAGGGUACCCGAAGUCGCCGACCCAACCCGCAAGGG
rnacentral:rRNA from 1 species